GCCUGGGUGGCUCAGUCGGUUAAGCGUCUGACUUCAACUCAGGUCAUGAUCUCCUGGUUUGUGGGUUUGAGCUCCAUGUCGGGCU
rnacentral:tRNA from 1 species